UUAUUGGACCUACUCUCCUUGGACUUCUGUCUACUUAAUCUAUAUAAACUCAAUUUAUUUUAAAAUGAAUGUAAUGGAUGUAACACAUCUAAUACUAAGUUUCAACAACGGAUCUCUU
rnacentral:rRNA from 1 species